UGUGGAAAUGCGAUUUUAUUUUUAGGAAAGAAAUUGUAUUUAAUUUUAAAAAAGAAAAUAGAUUAUAAUGAAUAAAAAACAAAUUCAAAGUUAAACAAACUAAUAGAAACUUUUAAAUUAAAAAGAUGAAAGGACAAGAUUUAGUGUUAAAGUAAACUUUGACAUUAGUGUCAACGGAUCGUCCUGACUCAUAUAUAGGAAUUAUCAAAUAACACCCGGAGAGUUACACUCAUUCAAUAAUUCAUAUAUGAUGAAAAAAAUUGAAAGUAAUUUUAAUUUUUCAUAGAUUCGUAUGAGUUUGUGAAUCGAGUAUAUUGAUCAUUUACGAGUCUGAGUUGACUGGCUAGUAUGACAACAUUGCGUUGUGAGAUUUUACCCUUUCAACUCAUUCUUCAUCUUCAAUUCAAGAUUUCCAGGAUUCUAAGGGUGGGGCUCUUAGAUAGUCUUAGCUCCAAUGCAUGAUAGAUUAGGUGUAGGGAGAUUUGAUUGUAAUUAGGUUAUGAGAUUUGUGGUUGAAUGCAUAAUUUGUGAUAGUUUGGAUGUUGACCUUGAAUGAUGCUUAACAUCUGUUAUUUGUGUGUCUGUGUGUGUUAUAGAAUGUUUGCGUGUGUUGGAUUACUGAAAAAUCAUGUAAAAAUUUGUAUUUGAGAAUAAUUGUCCCCCGUAAUCUAUGCAGAGAGAGAAUAGAUUGAUGCCUUUAAUUCUUCAAAAAUAAAAGUAGUUCACUCAAUGGGAGUUGAAUAAAUGACCUCUCUAUCAUAGUGCAAGAACCUUACCACUAGGACAAGCUUCUUGUUUUAUUGAAUACUCUUAUGCGAUGCUUCACUUAUGUAUUCAUAUGAAUGAUGUGUGUCAUGUCUAAAAUUUUAUUUCAUUGCUUAGAGGGUAUUGGUAUGUGAGUUAUACCGAAAUAGUGUGAACACGAUUAAAAACCCUAAUCGAUCAUAAGAACAUAUAUUUGUCUUAUGAUGUGAAAUGGUGCCAAGUGUCGUAUGAUGUAACUAACAAAUAUACCAGAAGAUUCAUUGGUUGUAAGUACGGCAUAUGAAACCCAAAUCGGUUGUAAGAAUGUAAUUGUAUCGUGAUUGAAGUAUGAAAGAUCAACUACAAUUGUAAGAACCGGAGUCUCUUGAUAUCAUACAUAGUAUGCGACGAAUGAUAGAGUAAGACUCUAGAGUUACCAUUUAGGUUAAGUGCAAACCCUGAUGAUGUGUUUGUAUUUAUAUGCUUGCCUAAUUGAAUAAACGGUAAGUGAGAAACUUAUCCCUUAAAAGAGAUUAAUUAGGGAAAUAAUAUUUAAAAAGCUAUGUUAUAUGUGUAUGCUUAUAUAACUGAGGUUACUUGGUAGUCAGUGAUACCCAUGGAUCGAGUUAGAAUUUGAUGGUGUGAACUCAUAAGAAGUACGAUGACACUUUGAGUUCGGCGACUAUUGGCAUCUGUUGAUUUCACAGUGAAUCAAGUGGAAUAGAUAGAUAAAUGUAAAGGUUUUAUACUUUUCAAAGGAUAUAAAUUUGUAAAGUGAAUUCCAUGCAGCGGAGUCUGGAACUCCAUCAACCAUAUUUAGUAGACAGUGAGUUCUACGUAGUGGAGGUUUGGUUUCUCAUUGACCAUGCCUGGUGGAAAAUAUUAGGACUAUCCAUAUAAUGGAGGCUAGAAGAGGCGUUGGUCAUAUCUAAUAGAUUGUACAAUCCAUACAAUGAAGGUUAGGACAAUCAUUAUCCAUAUCUUAUGGAUAAAGUCAUCUAUUCAGUGGAGGUUAUGAGUGUCGUUGGUCAUAUCUGAUGGAGUAUGUACCCAUACAGUGGAGGGUAAGACUUUCGUUGGCCAUAUCAGAUGGAUUGAUUAUCACCACAGAACGAUAGAUAUGAGUAAUGUUUUUCAUAUCCGGUAAAUAUUGUAUUUUAUACGGUGGAGGUUGGGUACUAUUAUUGGCCAUAUCUUGUGGACGUUGUUUCCAUGUAGUGGAGGCCAGGUUAUACCAUUGGCCACAUCUGACGAAUAGAUCUUUAUGAUCCAUUUGGGUUAAUCCCCAUGAGUUUCAUGACAAGUGCAGUCGUGAGUUUGACAUUCAUAUAUAUGUUGAGAGGCUAGCAGAGCUUCGUUAUUCCCGUUGUGUAUCUAAUACGCGAGAGUAGUAUUAAAACACUGUAGAGCCAAGUGGACCCAUAAGAUCUGGACUCCACUAAGAUUUAAUUAUCUUACUCCAACCAUAUUGUUGUUUUCGUGUUAGCUACAAGAGCUGGCGAAUUUGCAAGAAGACAUGGAUGUUGAAGACUUGGAUGUCUGAUGAAUAACAUUGAUGUGUUUCUUUUCUAUUUAGUUAUUGGAAUUCUUUAAAAAAAUUAUACUAUUUCAUAAUUUCAUAUUUAUAUUAUGUAUUAAAAUAUAUUAUAAAUUACUCUAAGAAUGAUCAAAAUAAUUAUAUAUAUCAAAUUACACUAAAAAGAUAAGAAAACGUAUAUUUAAAAUAUAUUAAACAAUAUAAUACAUAAAUUGAAAACAUAGUUGUUAAAUGUUGUGAAAACAUAAAUAUCAAUAUUGUUGAAAGGUUUGAAAAUACAUAUUAUUAAAAUCUCAAUAUUAAUAAUAUAGUUAAAAAUUCUGAAAAAAAUAUAUUGUCAAGUUAUUAAAAUGUUUGGAAAAAAACAUAUUCGACGAUAGUGUUAAAAGAUACGAAAAUAUUGUUACAAUAAACAUAUAGUUUCUUAGCUUUGUAUGCUAUCUUUAAAGUUCGACAAGACGCAAAUAUAAAUCUAUAAAAGAUCUUUAAAAUAUAAAAAUAAAUUUUUUUUAGUAUAUUUUAAAAAAAAAUAGUCUUGUUUUCAAAAUAUUUUUGAUAGUCUAAAGUAAAUGUUUAGUCCAAAUAAAAAUAGAUUAAAAUAGAGGUGAAAUAAAUAUAUAUAUAUAUUAUGUGAAAUUGUUAUAAAUUUUAAAAUCAAUAGGAAUGAAAUACAUGAAUACUCAUAUGAAUGAUAUAAUAUCAAUGUUGGUAAAAGUUAUAAUAUCCGAAUUUGACUUUUGUUAAAAGUUUAGAAAUAUGUUAAUAUUUGAGUGUAUUUUUGUACAUAUGUAAUGUUUGAAAAAAUAAUAUCUUGAAAAUAUUAAAAUAAAGUAAAUUUUAGUAUUUCUCAUUUUUUAAAAUUAAAUUUAGUUAAUUAUUGAAAAAUAUGAAAAGCCAUAUAAGUGUGUUCAGAUUAUUGAAAUUAUGAAAAGACAUAUCACUGUUUAAUAAGUUAUUGGUAAAAAGUAUGAAAAGUCAUAUAAUUGUUCAGGUUAUUAAAACUAUGAAAAGACAUAUCACUAAGUAUGAAAAGUCAUAUAAUUGUUCAGAUUAUUAAAACUAUGAAAAAACAUAUCACUAUUUAACAUGUUACUAGUAUUAAAAUAUACUAUAAAAAGUUAUAUCAUUAUUCAGGUUAUUAAAACUAUGAAAAGACAUACCACUUUUUAACAUGUUAUUCAAAAAUAUGAAAAAUUA
rnacentral:lncRNA from 1 species